rnacentral:tRNA from 1 species
AAAUCACCCCCAGCCCUAAGCUUCUAACUUAGGAAUAAAUGUAUAAACCAUUUGUGAUUUU